UUUCCGUUGGUGAACCUGCGGAAGGAUCAUUAUUGUAUAACCGAGGUGCGAGGGCUGUCGCUGACCCGAAAGGUCGUGCACGCCCGAGUGCCCUCACACACAUCCAUCUCACCCCUAUGUGCACCACCGCGUGGGUCCCCCUUUGGCUUGUUCGGAGGGGGGCUUACGUUUUCACACAAACUUUGUAUGCAGUGUAGAAUGUAUUUUUUGUUUUUGCGAUCACGCAAUCAAUACAACUUUCAACAACGGAUCUCUUGGCUCCC
rnacentral:misc_RNA from 1 species